GGAGCCGCGGAUGCGCGGCCGCCCUGCACCCGCUGUGCCUGACGGUGACAAUCCCGAGCGAGAGGCCAGCUUUCCCGGCGCCAGCCACCCGGGUGGGGACUGCUGCCUGAGGCGAUGUCGCUGCCAGCCCGCGGAGCUUACCUGAGGUGGUGGUGUCUGGUCUAUGCGUGUGGGAGUUUGGUGUCCACAGAGGCCAGAGGAGGGUGGCAGAUCCCUGGGACUGGAGGUAAGACAGUUGUGAACAAUCAUGUGGGUGCUGGGAAUCACUUAGGUUCUCUGGAAGAGCAGCCAGGACUCUUAAACCACUGAUCCAUUACUGCGAAAGGUGCUGUCUUUUUUAACUGGAGGAAGAUUUGGGCUCUUAGAAUCAAUAAAAUCCAACAAAUGUCUAUGAUGGGCUCCUACCUACUUCUGCUAUUCAGAACCACACCCUUUUAGAGUAAGCCCACAUGAGAAGCUCAUGAAUUCCCAGCAGAGACGUUGUUCUCUGGUUAAGUCUUCUGAAGAGCAUUUUGAGCAAGCACAGCAGGCUUAGAAAGGAAAAAUAUAAAAUAUAUGGUCAAAUAUUAAACGUGCCCCAGGAAGUGAAAUGGAACUGAAUCCUAUGUUCUAGGAAAUAACAGAUUAAGGGAGUGGGACUUUUCGGGAAGAUCCUACUCAGCUAAAUUUAGAUCCAGGCAUGGUGGUACACAUCUUUAAUCCCAGCAGAUAAAGCUGAGGAGGUCUCUGAGUCAAAGCCAGCCCCGGACAGAUCAAGUUCUAGGUGAAGAAAAGCUUAAGUCCAGGUGUGGUAGUACACACCUUUAAUCCCAGGACAGCAAAGCUUAGGCAGUGGGGUUGGAAAACAGGAGCUAGUGAUAACGUACUAGAACAAGGGGGCCAUUUUUUAGUUCCUGCAAGCAGCAGAACUCGCAGUUUUGGCCACAUCCUCUGGCUCUAGAGUCCAGAAUAGAAGGGAUGACUGGGACAAUUAAUGCUGGUUAGCUGGAGCUAAGAAAUUAGUGGUGAUUAAGAAACCACCAUCACUGAGGUGAAAUCUUCUGAGAAGUGUUUUCUGAGAGCACAAAGAAGCUGUGUUCCAGAGAUAGCCAAAUCUCCUGCAGCAGCUGUAUUUGAUAAUGUGUAAGAGUCACCCAGGUGACUCUUUGAAGGCAUGAAGGCAUCAUGAAGAACAGCUGAGGCUUGGCACUGUAAGAAGCUAUGGAAGGCCACUGGUGAAGGUGCAGCCCCAGUUGUAGUUGACAGCCCAGGACUGAAGGGGUCAUGCAAAGGAUUUGAGGCUUGCCACCAGGAAAGAGCCUAUGAGAGGCUACUGGGGAAGGCCCCAGUGUAUUGGAGAUGCCAGAACCAUGGGAGCAACACCAAGAACAGCAUCGGCAGUGGAGUGGAUCAUCCUGAGCUUAGAGUGCUACAGAGGGCAGAGCUGGAGAAGUGACAAUAGCCUUUAGGAUAAGCCCAGAGAUUAUGAACAAGAAGCUGUAACAUUGAAAUUGCCUUGAAGACCCAAAGAUGUUAAAGAUGCCAGAGUGGUGAGGAAAGCUGCUAACAGGGAGUGGAGGAGAAGGAAGUUUGUUGCAGUCAACAAAGAUAAGAAAGGAGUGGAGAUCUGAAGACCACUUUGAUAUCAGACAUGGAGAUGUUUGGAGUUUGCCCAGCUGGUUUCCUGUCUUGCUUUGGGGAUUACAGUUAAGUGAUUGGAUGAAUCUGAGAAGAGACUUUAACUUUGGACUUUUAACAUUGUUGAGAUUGUUGUAUUCUAAGGGGACUUUGGAAGUUGGACUAAAUGUAAUUUUUUUAUUAUGCUACGUUUAGGUAUGACCCCAUAUACUCAUGUGUUUGAACAAGCCUAUGAGGGCCAGGGAGUGGAAUGUGAUGGUUUGUUUAUGCUUGGCCCAGGCAGUGGCACUAUUAGAAGGUGCGGUCCUGUUAGAGUAGGUGUGUCACUGUGGGUGUGGGCUAUAAGACCCUCGCCCUAGCUGCCUGGAAGUCAGUCCUCCACUAGCAGCCUUCACAUGAAAGAUGCAGGACUCUCAGCUCCUCCUGCGCCAUGCCUGCCUGGAUGCCGCUAUGUUCCUGCCUUCAUGAUAAUGGACUGAACAUCUGAACCUGUAAGACAACCCCAAUUAAAUGUUGUCAUUGAUAAGAGUCGCCUUGGUAUUGGUGUCUGUUCACAGCACUAAAACCCUAAGUCAGGGGUGAUGGUUGAGAAGAUUUGAGGCUUAGCAAAAAUCAAAGAUUCAGGGGAAACCCAAGGGUUUUGUCUCAGUCACUUUCCAAUUGCUAUAGCACUACUCCAUGACUAAGGCGACUUAUAGAAGAAUUUAUUGGGGCUUACAGUUUCAGGGAAUAAGUCCAUGACCAUCAUGUCUGGGAGCAUGGCUGCAAGCAGGCAGGCAGGCAUGAUGCUAGAUCAUUAGCUAAGAGCUUACAUCCUUAUCCAUAAACAUGAGGCAAGAAAGAGCUAACUGGGAAUAGCCUGGGUUUUUGAAACCUUACAGCUCACCCCCAGUGUCACCCCUCCUCCAACAAAGACACACCUCCUAAUCUUUCCCAAAUGGUCGUACCAACUAGAAACCAAGCAUUCAGAUACAAGCCUGUGAGAGCCAUUCUCAUUCAAACUAUCACAGGGCUCUAGUCCAGAGCUAAACUAUAUCAUGCUAUAACUUUUAGUUCCCCCCACCUUUAUUAUAAAUAUUAAACGUUCGAAAAAUAAGAAAAAAAAAGCUCAUGAAUUAAAAAGUCGGGAGGCAAAAAUGUCUAGAAGACUCUUGCCAAUAAAAAGUUGUAUCAGGCUUUCUACUGACCAAAUACUGUUUGGUGUAACUGAUUUCCAAAUGAGUCUAAUCUUCAGGACAUAAAGUAUAUUUUGUUAACUGCCACACCUUCAGUACCUAGAGCAAUGCUUGUUGCUGUCUUGUUAGAGCACAUUAAGUAACUAUUUGUUAGGGGUUGGGGAUUUAGCUCAGUGGUAGAGCGCUUGCCUAGCAAGGGCAAGGCCCUGGGUUCGGUCCCCAGCUCCAAAAAAAAAAAAAAGAAAAAAAAGUAACUAUUUGUUGGACGGAUAGAUGGAUGGAUGGAUGGUUUUCAAGGACAGGGCUCAAGAAGUAGGAUAAAACUCUGGCCUUAUCCCUGAUGGCUUUGCUUGUUCUCAGAAGGAAGAACUAUAAAUUAGUACAAAAUCUCAGGUGCAGAGGAAUGAGUGUACACUGAGCGCUGAGCACCCCAGCAGCCAUCUCAGCCAGACAAUGCAAGUUUUCUUUAAAUACUACGAAAAAAAGCAUGAACUAGAAAAGUCAGAAAGGCAAUAAAUUUAACUUUAAUAAAUUGGACAUAACAAUGGAAGUUUUUUCCUACUCAAAAUGAAGAGGUAAGCUGUGGAUUAGGAAAAAUUAUUUUAUACACACACGUGUGUAUGUGCAUAUAUACACAUAUCUCUCCAACAAAGAACUUAUUUCUUGAACUUUAUGUGCUUUUAUUGCUCAUUAAGACAACCAGAUUUUAAAAUGAGUAAACUAUAUGAGCAACUUAACGAAAAUAUCAGGAGAACAAAUAGGUACAUGGAUACGUGACACAAAGAGCAAAGCACAUUAAAAUACCAAGUACUCUGUAUUUCAAGGAUAGAACGCUAAACUUCCUACUUUAAUGUGGUAAGACCUUGAGGCCUACAAGUGAGACCCGGGGAUUUAAGGAGUGCUCACUUUCCUUCCCAAUUGCCACUAUCAUUUCUAUGGCCCUUAGUGGUUCUGUAAUCUACUUCCUGUGUUAGGUAAGACACAUCACUAAAAACUGACAGCCCCCACCAGUCAUUUCUGCAGUGACUUGUACUUGCAGUAUUUGCAAGGAACACAAUAGAAAACGGGGGCUAUCAGCACACAUGGAGCUAAGACUGCAGGCCCUCUGCUACUCACCGGAAGCCAGGGUAUCCAACCAGCAGCCCUUACCUGCUUCUGACUUGUUAGACAUAAUUAGCCUUCCUAGUCCUUAUGAUUCAAAGGAUAACUCCCAUUAAUUCAAGUCUUUCGAAGGCUGACUUUGCAUUGCCAGUGGCGUAAGAACAUGAGCCAGUGACACAUGAAACCUGAAUGGUUAGGGCUUCCAGAGGACGAUUUCCUUGUUUUAGAAUGAAACACUGCAGGGGGUUGGUGUGUGUGUGUGUGUGUGUGUGUGUGUGUGUGUGUGUGUGUCUUCCUUUUAACUUCUGACAUGGCUGCUUUGAAGGAUUGCUUCUUUUAUCUUCUCUGUAUUUCUUCCCAAGCUUGUGAGGCUUCCUCAGCCUAUAGCCAAAAAGAAUGUCUGAGAAAAGAGAAACAGUGUAGUAUUCUAAUGAACUGAUACUGGAGUGAUCCUUACAGCAGCCUGGUAAAGCAUGGCCGAGGCUUAGAACUUCUCAGUAAUGUCUUUCACCAUAACCUUAGCCUCCAAACCUUAACUGCCAUUAAGAUUCCAAGACAGGACAUAGCCACAAUAUCCUUCCUUCCUUUGCCUCAUGGUACAUCAUAUGCCACAUCAUAUUUUUACUAAUAAGGCAAGAGGGAAGGUUGUUCAACUAGUACUGAAAAGACUUUAGUCACAACGUGGGGCUCCAGGGUAUGACAGUUAAGUCAUGUUAGGUGUGUUUGAGAAGGAACCAACUAAGUCUUUCAAAAUAGAAAAACAAAAUAGCAAAAACAAAAACAAUAAAAACCCAAAAAACAAAACAAAACAAAAAAACCAAAAAACUUCUGUCACCGGGUAGUGGUGGUGCACACCUCUAAUCUCAGCACAGAGUUCAGAAUUCAAGGCCAACAUGGUCUACAAAGCGAGUCCAGGACAGUUAAGAAUCUGGUACACAGAGAAACCCUAUCUCGAAAAACCCAAAUAAAAUAAGUCUAUCUUAUUGCAACCAGGACUAUGUCAUUCAACCAAUUUCCUUUAAGCUUUGCAGAUGGAAGGAUCACAGUGUCUAGGUGGCCACAUCCCAAAGGAACUUGACAGGUGGUAGCCACAGGCUUAGUGUUAUAAUUUGCAAAGUCAUAAUACUUGGCCUCCAGAGGACUGCUAGACCUAUUAUACGUACACUGUCCACCAGCUAUAAUUCCUCCGUGGGCUCUUUGCCAGAAUCCUUCUCUGAAUCAUCUUCCCCAGGGUUGAGGAAUCAGUGUGCUAGCAGAACUGGGAAGAUACGAGAUCCUUCAAGCUGAACAACUAUGCCCCCAGCUUAAGUUCCAAACCCAAGAAACCCCUGAAGUUGGGGGUGAAAAUAUUUGAAAAGAUAAUAAUAUGCUAACACCAAGAGAUCUGUUCUUACUCUGCUUACCUGAAAAUGGAGGAACAUUCUAUUUUGGCUUACAUAAAGUUCAGGAUUAGACUCCAUCCAUUGGGGAUUUUUGUCUGUCUGUUUGUGUUUGUUUUUGAGAUAGGGUCUUACUAUGUUGCUUUGACCGACCUGGAACUCACCCUAUGCAUCAGGCAGGCCUUGAAUCAGAGAUAACCAGUUUCUGCCUCCCAAAUGCUGGGGUUAAAGAUGUUUACCACCAAACCAGUCUCAGUAUCACUUCUUGAUUUGCCCACUCCACACCCAUGUUAUCUCUAGCUCAUUUCACUCAUUCUCAAAUUCUCCCUCAUGGUAUCUGCUGUUGUCUUGAGAUGACAGAAUAGAAUGUAUAGAAUGUAGUUUCUGGUCCUAGGGGUUCAUAGUCCGUGGAGAAGACAAGUUUUAGCAGGAAGCAUGGCGAGCUAGGUUCUGUCUGGUGUACUGGCACACAAUCCAUAACACUUGUUAGGGACAAAAUCAGAACGCUUUUUUCUCCUAAGAACAAGAGAAAUUUUAAAGUGGUGGUAUUACCUGAUGAACAAUUUGGAAGACCUAAAUUCCUUUUCUGUUCUAUUUUUUUCUCCACUUUAUUUAUACCAGCACAAAAUAAGUUAGCAGUUUACCUAGUGGUGACUUGGCUGUUACCUAGCUUCUGCCUCCUCCCCCUCCACAAGGCUGGCUCCACAGUGUAUUUCUUUUGGUAAGCUGUUUCCCUUGCACCUGAGGCCUUAGCUACCUUUUACCCAGGGUGAAUCCUGUACUUCUACCACUAGUUUCCUGUCUUGCCUAAGCACCAAGGCUGUGUUUAUUGGAAACGGUAUUCCCCUCUGGAAUCUCAAGAUGCUUAAAGCUGGCAGGUAGGCAUAGGCCUCCAAUUCCAGUACAUGGGAGGUAGAACUCAGAAGAUAGUGAAUUUGAGGGUCACCAGAACCCCUCAAAGAAAACUUUGUAUCUGAGGUUAAUUAUCCUUGGUCAGGAGAUGUACUACAUGCCUUCUAUAGUCUCACUGAUCCCAUCUUGGUAAGAAUGUCCCAGUACACUCACGUUCAAGUAGAGACAUACGAUCUACAUUCUACUACUCUCUGUCAGUCUUGAUGUCUUGGUAAUGUUCUAUCCUGCUUCUCAGGUCUGCCCUUUCUGUUCAGUCUUUACAGCUACAGCUUCAGCCCAGUCACCUGGAAUCCUUUGUACUGGAGUGACUCAGUGACCAAUGAUCUCCAAGAAACUUUAAAGACAUUCUGUUUUUCUCAUUUUUGAAUUGUACCUACUUUCUCCUCUCACAAUACCACGACAGUGUUUUGCAUGUUUGUGAAAAGUACACAGAGACCAUGUGCGGUUUGACUGCACGACAAUCUAAAAACCUAUCAGAUAUGUAAUUAAUACACCGUUUAUUUUGUGACAGGAAAAAAAAAAGCCAGAGACCACACUUUAGAAAUAAAAGCCACUGUUGUCUUUAUAAAACACAGGAUUGUGCUGCUGUUGCUUGCUUGAGAAGGGAACUGUACAUUACAGCUGCUGGGAUAAUUUCACAAUGGACGGGACAGGGUACAGCUCAAAGCAGGACACAAACACAAGUCUCAAUGGGAAACAAAUGCAAACAAGUACACAGCUGCGGGGCUCCAGGGACAUUUCCCCAUCCAUGCUGGACUUGAGAGGAAUAAGAAGUUUAGAAAAUAAAGUGAAACCCAGAGUUGUCACACGUGCCCACCACAUGGCUGCUAAGUGCAACAACAUACACCCAUCAGGUUGGACUGUGUGCACAGGAAGUCAAUUCAUUUUUCCUUAUUGCUAUGACACCAGAGGACUCAGUGCAUUCAGACACAUUGUCUUUACUUACAGAAUUCUUGGAGAGUUUCUGAUUUCCCUUUUUAAGGAAGGGAAUCACCUUCCUCACAUUACUGUUUUGAGCCCAUUCUUUCCAUUCCCUUUCCUGGGCUAUCGUACAGCAGCCAGAGGUUCUAAGUCAGUAGGAGCAGAGUAAGGGGAGAGCACCAACCCAGC